rnacentral:rRNA from 1 species
AGCGAACGCUGGCGGCAGGCUUAACACAUGCAAGUCGAGCGGGCAUCCUUGUGGUGUCAGCGGCAGACGGGUGAGUAACGCGUGGGAACGUGCCCUUCGGUUCGGAAUAACUCAGGGAAACUUGAGCUAAUACCGGAUACGUGCGAGAGCAGAAAGGUUUAUCUGCCGAAGGAUCGGCCCGCGUCUGAUUAGCUAGUUGGUGAGGUUAUGGCUCACCAAGGCGACGAUCAGUAGCUGGUCUGAGAGGAUGAUCAGCCACACUGGGACUGAGACACGGCCCAGACUCCUCGGGGAGGCGGCGGGGGGGAAUAUUGGAAAGGGGGGGAACCCCGGACCCAGCCUUGCCGGGGGAGUGAGGCCGGCGUUGGGGUUGAAAAGCUCUUUUCCCCGGGAGGAAAAGGACGGGCCGGGAGAAAUAGGCCCCGGCUAACUUCGUC